CAAUGUUCAAUGGACAGAUGCCUGCAGCGGCCCAUCCAGCUCGUACAACUCUCCCAGUAAUCGCAGCCUCUC
rnacentral:tRNA from 1 species